UUGGGCUUAGUACAUACUGAUGUCUGCGGUCCAAUAUCGAUUCAUGUCAGAUAUAGGUACUCCUACUAUUAGAAAAUCGGGUAGGUAGCAUGUAUAUAUUUCAAAAAUAUUUUUGAACGCAGUAGAAAAACAAAUGGGUUAAACCCUUUAACCCCACAUGCAUAAGAUCAAAUCUAAUCCUACCCAAAGCCCAAGAGAAAAUAAAUAUAUAAUCUAAAGUUUAGAGAUAAGUAUGAGAUCGGAUCUCAAUACCUUGGCACGGAUAGAUAUUCACCGC
rnacentral:lncRNA from 1 species